CGGGGUGAGUAAUGUCUGGGAAACUGCCUGAUGGAGGGGGGUAACUACUGGAAACGGUAGCUAAUACCGCAUAACGUCGCAAGACCAAAGAGGGGGACCUAGGGCCUCUUGCCAUCGGAUGUGCCCAGAUGGGAUUAGCUAGUAGGUGGGGUAAUGGCUCACCUAGGCGACGAUCCCUAGCUGGUCUGAGAGGAUGACCAGCCACACUGGAACUGAGACACGGUCCAG
rnacentral:rRNA from 1 species